AGAGUUUGAUCAUGGCUCAGAUUGAACGCUGGCGGCAGGCCUAACACAUGCAAGUCGAGCGGUAGCACAGAGAGCUUGCUCUCGGGUGACGAGCGGCGGACGGGUGAGUAAUGUCUGGGAAACUGCCUGAUGGAGGGGGAUAACUACUGGAAACGGUAGCUAAUACCGCAUAACGUCGCAAGACCAAAGUGGGGGACCUUCGGGCCUCAUGCCAUCAGAUGUGCCCAGAUGGGAUUAGCUAGUAGGUGGGGUAACGGCUCACCUAGGCGACGAUCCCUAGCUGGUCUGAGAGGAUGACCAGCCACACUGGAACUGAGACACGGUCCAGACUCCUACGGGAGGCAGCAGUGGGGAAUAUUGCACAAUGGGCGCAAGCCUGAUGCAGCCAUGCCGCGUGUGUGAAGAAGGCCUUCGGGUUGUAAAGCACUUUCAGCGGGGAGGAAGGCGUUAAGGUUAAUAACCUUGGCGAUUGACGUUACCCGCAGAAGAAGCACCGGCUAACUCCGUGCCAGCAGCCGCGGUAAUACGGAGGGUGCAAGCGUUAAUCGGAAUUACUGGGCGUAAAGCGCACGCAGGCGGUCUGUCAAGUCGGAUGUGAAAUCCCCGGGCUCAACCUGGGAACUGCAUUCGAAACUGGCAGGCUAGAGUCUUGUAGAGGGGGGUAGAAUUCCAGGUGUAGCGGUGAAAUGCGUAGAGAUCUGGAGGAAUACCGGUGGCGAAGGCGGCCCCCUGGACAAAGACUGACGCUCAGGUGCGAAAGCGUGGGGAGCAAACAGGAUUAGAUACCCUGGUAGUCCACGCCGUAAACGAUGUCGAUUUGGAGGUUGUGCCCUUGAGGCGUGGCUUCCGGAGCUAACGCGUUAAAUCGACCGCCUGGGGAGUACGGCCGCAAGGUUAAAACUCAAAUGAAUUGACGGGGGCCCGCACAAGCGGUGGAGCAUGUGGUUUAAUUCGAUGCAACGCGAAGAACCUUACCUGGUCUUGACAUCCACAGAACUUUCCAGAGAUGGAUUGGUGCCUUCGGGAACUGUGAGACAGGUGCUGCAUGGCUGUCGUCAGCUCGUGUUGUGAAAUGUUGGGUUAAGUCCCGCAACGAGCGCAACCCUUAUCCUUUGUUGCCAGCGGUCCGGCCGGGAACUCAAAGGAGACUGCCAGUGAUAAACUGGAGGAAGGUGGGGAUGACGUCAAGUCAUCAUGGCCCUUACGACCAGGGCUACACACGUGCUACAAUGGCAUAUACAAAGAGAAGCGACCUCGCGAGAGCAAGCGGACCUCAUAAAGUAUGUCGUAGUCCGGAUUGGAGUCUGCAACUCGACUCCAUGAAGUCGGAAUCGCUAGUAAUCGUAGAUCAGAAUGCUACGGUGAAUACGUUCCCGGGCCUUGUACACACCGCCCGUCACACCAUGGGAGUGGGUUGCAAAAGAAGUAGGUAGCUUAACCUUCGGGAGGGCGCUUACCACUUUGUGAUUCAUGACUGGGGUGAAGUCGUAACAAGGUAACCGUAGGGGAACCUGCGGUUGGAUCACCUCCUU
rnacentral:rRNA from 2 species